rnacentral:rRNA from 1 species
CCUACGGGAGGCAGCAGUAGGGAAUUUUGCGCAAUGGGGGAAACCCUGACGCAGCAACACCGCGUGAAUGUUAAGCCCUUCGGGGUGUAAAGUUCUGUCAAUAGGGACGAAUUUUGACUGGACCUAUAAAGGAAGCACCGGCUAACAACGUGCAAGCAGCCGCGGUAAUACGGGGGGUGCAGGGGUUGUCCGGAAUCAUUGGGCGUAAAGCGUUCGUAGUGGGUAUGUCAAGUCUGAUGUUAAAGCCCGGGGCUUAACCCCGGUCCGGCAUUGGAAACUGGCAAACUAGAAUGUGGUAGAGGUAAAGGGAAUGCGUGGUGUAGCGGUGAAAUGCUUAGAUAUCAGGAGGAACCUCGGUGGCGAAAGCGCUUUACUGGACCAUUAUUGACGCUGAGGAACGAAAGCCAGGGGAGCAAAUGGGAUUAGAUACCCCUGUAGUC